GCGAGUGAAUACUGAAGAGCCACGCUGAAAAAAAUACAUGUUUUAAAGGAGCAUCUGAAUGAGAACAGGACACUUGGCUGGCACACAAGAAGAGGAAGGGUGCUCUAAACUUAAGCAUGGAAGAAGGGGCAAAUACAAGAAUGGGUGGAGAAUGUAACAAGGAGGACACUAAUGAAGACACAAAUCUUUCAAUCCGGGGAUGAAUGUUUGACAAGGACACUUGGAGCAUCUUUCGCGUGCUCAGCCGGUUGCAGUAUUUUGUUUUCGUUGCAGUCAUCACUGAAAAUCCAAUUUCGCAGAGAUAUGUGGAAUGGAACAUGAGCAAAGUUUUGACAUCUGGUUCACUGACUUGUGAGUAUUCACUUCUGAUUUUGAUCCAGAAAACAGAUAGAGUCACUUAAUGAAAGUGUAACUUCCGACCCUCAUGACACUUCCAGCAACUUGUCCUCCAAUGAUAGUGACAAAGAGGUCUCAGUUUCUAGAGAGGAGAAUGGAUCAUGAACCCAUUGUUUUCCUUUUCAUAGAUCAGAGUCUGAUGGGAAAUAGUCCUUGAACUUUUGAAGAGUUGAUUUUAGAUGGGAUGCAAUUAUUUCGCAUAGGUGAGGCAGAUCCACAUCUUUACUGUCAUCAAUAUCUGGAAAUGCAAAAGAUGGGAACAUGUCAUAACAAUCACGCCCGACUCUCUUUUUUCAGACUUGGAGAGUUUUUUUUAAAAAGGCCAUGGUCUUGUCAUCCAGUACAAAGACACUCAACAUAGAGAGAUUGAACUGAUUGAAGUGAUCAAAUAUAUCUGCCAAAUAUGCAAGUUUGGCGAGCAUUGUAAAUCCUGAAAGUAUGCUGCCAGAGGAGACUUCUUUUGAGACAGAAAAGCUUCAAGUUCACGUCACAGUUCAUUUACUCGGUUUAAUACUUUGCCAUGUGAUAACCACUGCACUUCAGCAUAUAAGAAAUGGGGUCAGAAUUUAUUCUUAACACAUUGUAGCAAAUAUGCGACAAUUUAGUCCAUUUGCUUUCACAAAAUUCACAGUUUUAACAACUAUAUUGAGGACAUCAUUAAGCUCUGGAGACAAUUUCUUAGCUGCCAAGACCUCUCGAUGAAUAAAGCGGCGUUGCUUGAGCAGUUGGUGCAACUUCCAUCACUCUUGCCACUACACCAGAAUGUCUGCCUGUCACUGCAGCCAGUCUGUCAGUGCAAAUUCCAACAUAGUGGUCCCACCAAAGUCCAUGUCCUGUCACAUACUCAUUUAGGACCCAGAAGAUUUCUGUGCCUGUUGUGUUUUGUGGCAAUUCUUUACAGCAGAGAUCUUCAUGAAAUGCGCAUUCAUAGGCAUAGGCGCUGCCUUUUGUUUUUGCUGGUGGGUGCUUUUGAAGAGGCGUGUGUGUUGGGGUGGAGGGAGAAAGAGGCGCUCUGCCAGUUGGGGUGGGGGGAAGGCUUUUUUCAGCAUAUUUAUACACCUUUUAUAUUCUAGUUUUGAAUGUGUGUGUAUCGUUGGUAUCUUUACUAUUUUAAUGAUUAAAUUGUUAUGAACUACAUAAUUACAUUAUCAUGAAUUACAGUAUAUUAAAAUCAUUGCAGUCA